AUGAAAAUGCAAGAAGAGAAAAAAAAAUGGAAGGAAGAAGAGAAAAAAAAUGGAAGGAAGAAGAGAAAAAAAAUGGAAGGAAGAAGAGAAAAAAAAUGGAAGGAAGAAGAAGAGAAAAAAUGGAAGAAGAAGAGAAAAAAAUGGGAGAAGAAGAGAAAAAAAAUGGGAGAAGAAGGGAAAAAAAAGGGAGAAGAAGAGAAAAAAAAUGGGAGAAGAAGGGAAAAAAAAGGGAGAAGAGGGAAAAAAAAGGGAGAAGAAGAGGAAAAGAAGGGAGAAGAGGAGAAAAAAAUGGGAGAAGAAGAGAAAAAAAUGGGAGAAGAAGAGAAAAAAAUGGGAGAAGAAGAGAAAAAAAUGGGAGAAGAAGAGAAAAAAAGGGAGAAGAAGAGAAAAAAAAGGGAGAAGAGAAAAAAAGAAAAAUGGGAGAAGAGAAGAAAAUGGGAGAAGAAGAGAAAAAAAUGGAAGAAGAGGAAAAAAAAAUGGGAGAAGAGGAGAAAAAAAAUGGGAGAAGAGGAGGAAAAAUGGAAGAAGAAGAGAAAAAAAUGGAAGAAGAGAAAAAAUGGAAGAAGAGGAGGAAAAAAAAUGGAAGAAGAGGAGAAAAAAAAUGGGAGAAGAGAAAAAAAAAUGGGAGAAGAGAAAAAAAAUGGGAGCAGAGAAAAAAAAAUGGGAGAAGAGGAAAAAAAAUGGGAGAAGAGGAAAAAAAUGGGAGAAGAGGAAAAAAAAAUGGGAGAAGAGGAGAAAACAAUGGAAGAAGAGGAGAAAACAAUGGAAGAAGAGGAGAAAACAAUGGAAGAAGAGGAGAAAAAAGAUGAGAAAAUGAAUGUAAAAACUGAUAAAUGCAGCCUCUGUGCACAUGAGGAACUCCCAAGGGCUGUUCAGGGGCUGGAAGGGAAUGUUCUUUUCCAGGGAAAACAUCAGCCUCUUCCACCUGCAUCCCUGCAAUUCUCAAGGACAAUAGAACCAGGGCAAUGCUGCCCAGAGCAGCAGGGCACAAAACCAUCAGCGUUUGUCCUCAAAGCCCCGGAGAUUCAGGGCUCUGUUCAGCUCCUCUGGAGGAAAUGA
rnacentral:lncRNA from 13 species